rnacentral:rRNA from 1 species
AUACGUAGGGGGCGAGCGUUGUCCGGAAUGAUUGGGCGUAAAGGGCGCGUAGGCGGCGCGGUAAGUCUGGAGUGAAAGUCCUGCUUUCAAGGUGGGAAUUGCUUUGGAUACUGCCGCGCUUGAGUGCAGGAGAGGUUAUCGGAAUUCCCGGUGUAGCGGUGAAAUGCGUAGAGAUCGGGAGGAACACCAGUGGCGAAGGCGGGUAACUGGACUGCAACUGACGCUGAGGCGCGAAAGUGUGGGGAGCAAACAGGAUUAGAUACCCUGGUAGUCCACGCUGUAAACGAUGAGCACUAGGUGUCGGGCUAGCAAUAGUUCGGUGCCGCAGUUAACGCAAUAAGUGCUCCGCCUGGGGAGUACGCACGCAAGUGUGAAACUCAAAGGAAUUGACGGGG